rnacentral:rRNA from 1 species
CCUACGGGAGGCAGCAGUGAGGAAUAUUGGUCAAUGGACGAGAGUCUGAACCAGCCAAGUAGCGUGAAGGAUGACUGCCCUAUGGGUUGUAAACUUCUUUUAUAAAGGAAUAAAACGAGGCACGUGUGCCUUUUUGCAUGUACUUUAUGAAUAAGGAUCGGCUAAAGCCGUGCCAGCAGCCGCCGUAAUACGGAGGAUCCGAGCGUUAUCCGGAUUUUUUGGGUUUAAAGGGAGCGUAGAUGGGUUGUUAAGUCAGUUGGGAAAGUUUGCGGCUCAACCGUAAAAUUGCAAUUGAUACUGGCAGUCUUGAGUACGGUGGAGGUAAGCGGAAUUCGUGGUGUAGCGGUGAAAUGCUUAGAUAUCACGAAGAACCCCGAUUGCGAAGGCAGCUUACUAAACUGCGACUGACAUUGAUGCUCGAAAGUGUGGGUAUCAAACAGGAUUAGAUACCUUGGUAGUC